rnacentral:rRNA from 1 species
UGGGGAAUAUUGGGCAAUGGGCGCAAGCCUUACCCAGCAAUGCCGCGUGAAUGAAGAAGGUCUUCGGAUUGUAAAGUUCUUUAGUCAGGGACGAAAAAAAUGACGGUACCUGAAGAAUAAGCCCCGGCUAACUACGUGCCAGCAGCCGCGGUAAUACGUAGGGGGCAAGCGUUGUCCGGAAUGACUGGGCGUAAAGGGUGUGUAGGCGGUUUGGCAAGUUGGAAGUGAAAUACCUAGGGCUUAACUCAGGUGCUGCUUUCAAAACUGUUAGACUUGAGUGCAGGAGAGGUUAAUGGAAUUCCUAGUGUAGCGGUGGAAUGCGUAGAUAUUAGGAGGAACACCAGAGGCGAAGGCGAUUAACUGGCCUGUAACUGACGCUGAGACACGAAAGUGUGGGGAGCAAACAGG